rnacentral:tRNA from 1 species
GGGUCCGGUGGCGGAGGUUGUGCGGGCGGCGAUUUCGGCGCGGCACGGGGUGACGGUGCGUGAACUGCUUCUGGUGCCGGCCGGGUCGAUUCC